AAGCUUUUGCAGAUCCAAACCUGUUUUAUUUGUUGCUCCAGGAAAUUUUCGUUCCUAAUGGGGUCUUUGUUUGUUGUUUUGAUUUCCAAGGACAGGAGCUUGAAUCAUGUCUUACCGAAAAGGAAAGCUAUAUCAAGGAAUUGGAAACUAAUUUAGGUGCACGAAAAGAAAUUAAUAGUCAUCAGCACAGUGAAUUGAAGGUGCUCAAUGAAAAGAGAAAUAACGAGGCAAGAAGAAUGAAGUCAUUGGAGAGGGAGGGUAACCGUGUACGUUCUGAAAUUUUCCUAUUCAAGUCCAAGGUUAGACUCCGCUUGGGACUUUGGGAUGCAUAAGUUCAAUCUAGAUUGAUUUAUUUUGGCAUUCUACUGGUGUGUGGAG